GUGGAUUGGAUGACGGCCUUCGGGUUGUAAACCGCUUUUAGUAGGGAAGAAGGGCUUCGGCUUGACGGUACCUGCAGAAAAAGGACCGGCUAACUACGUGCCAGCAGCCGCGGUAAUACGUAGGGUCCGAGCGUUGUCCGGAAUUAUUGGGCGUAAAGAGCUCGUAGGCGGUUUGUCGCGUCUGCUGUGAAAUCUGGAGGCUCAACCUCCAGCCUGCAGUGGGUACGGGCAGACUAGAGUGCGGUAGGGGAGAAUGGAAUUCCUGGUGUAGCGGUGGAAUGCGCAGAUAUCAGGAGGAACACCGAUGGCGAAGGCAGUUCUCUGGGCCGUAACUGACGCUGAGGAGCGAAAGCGUGGGGAGCGAACAGGAUUAGAUACCCUGGUAGUCCACGCCGUAAACGUUGGGCGCUAGAUGUGGGGACCUUU
rnacentral:rRNA from 1 species